UACAGAGGGUGCAAACGCUGUUCGGAUUUACUGGGCGUAAAGCGCGUGUAGGCUGCUUCGCAAGUCGGAUGUGAAAGCCCUGGGCUCAACCCAGGAAGUGCAUUCGAAACUGCAGAGCUGGAGUCCUGGAGAGGAAGGCGGAAUUCUCGGUGUAGAGGUGAAAUUCGUAGAUAUCGAGAGGAACACCGGUGGCGAAGGCGGCCUUCUGGACAGUGACUGACGCUGAGACGCGAAAGCGUGGGGAGCAAACAGG
rnacentral:rRNA from 1 species